ensembl:lncRNA
AGGCCUUGCACGAGCUGUGCUGUGUGCAGGCAGCUUUCUCUGUGCUGCCAGACCUGGCUGCAGAACACCAGUAGGGCUCCCAAUGAUGCAUGGAGGAAAUUCUCAAGGAUGGUGCGGCCACGAGGAGCUCCUUCGUAGGCGGUGAGGCCGAAUGUCACACUGUGCUGAGGGGGCACGUGGGCUCGUGGAGAGGUGUUGGGAAAUGCAGGAAAACUGCAGCUUGCCCACGGCAGCUCUGUGUCCCUCAGCUCUGCUCCACUCUACAAAGUGAUGUCAUCAUGUGCUGCUUUAGUCCUGAGGUGCCUCCAAUGGCCGCUGUGCCAUCUCAGCUGCUCUUCAGAGCUUCUGCAAAUGAACUCAACAACUCACAAACAGAGGCCUAUGACUUCAGCUGAGGAGCAUGCAGCAGGCAUUGAUGAGCUGCCAAGCAACGAAGAUUUGGUUUCAGGGUGGAUGCAGAAGCCAGAUAGUGACAUUUUUCUUGGGUUUUUGUCUGCCCUCCUUCCGGUGAAUUCCCACUGAAGAUAAUUUGGGCUCCGAGAGAAGAAACCCCUCCCCGGGAACUUGUUAUUUCAGUAACAGCUGAGUAAGGCCCAUGGAGGUCUUCAGGCUUCAGACAACCCUUUGGAAGCAAUAAUAACAGCAAGGAAAGAAACAAGAUGGAAAGCAUGGCCCGUGGCCAUCGAUCUACCCAGGCAGUCUGCUGCUGGUGGCACUUCAGCUGGAUGCAAAACCAGCACGAAAAAAAACCACCAAACCACGAUCCAAGUACAAGGUGCCAACAAGUUCAUCUUUAAUUAGCAGUUAAUUAGUUGUUUUGCUCAUUCGUCAGAGCACGAAUGUUUCCCAGCUGUGUAUCUAAACAGUAUUCCUCAGCCUUUCAGGCCUCCCUGUGAUCCCUGCAUCACUGAACAGCCCUGGAGUUCCCUCCAUUCCCCCCGUGGGUGCAGUCCCGCAGCCAUGGGAGCUCUCAGUGGGGGCGAUGCUCUGCGGUGCCUCAGCUCCAGCCCUGCACUGUGCUCCCUGCCCAGCACUGCAGGGCUUUCCAGUCCUCCUACAUGAGAGAGCAAUGCUUUCUCUGAAGCGUCCUUAGGCAGCGUACCUGCCUGGUGAAGGAUGACUAUUCCUAAAUGGCUUUGCAGUCUUUUGAAAAACCAGUCAUGAAAUAAUUGAGUCAAGCUUUCGUGAAAUAGAUCUUAAUUUUAUUCUAUGGAUGUCAUAGAUCUGAAAUUCUCAAAUGCUGAUGAACUUCCGUACGAACGCUUUAUGAUACUGGAAGUUCCCAGUGCUUGCAGUGCAGUCCUGCAGCGGUGUGGUGUUGGCAUAAGAACAAAUGGGAGGAGAGCGUUAAGAGAAUGUAAAAUAAAGAUAACUCUG